UACGGGGGGAGCAAGCGUUGUUCGGAUUUACUGGGCGUAAAGGGCGGGUAGGCGGCCACCGCAAGUCAGUUGUGAAAUCUCCGGGCUUAACCCGGAAAGGUCAACUGAUACUGCGGGGCUAGAGUGCAGAAGGGGCAACUGGAAUUCUCGGUGUAGCGGUGAAAUGCGUAGAUAUCGAGAGGAACACCUGUGGCGAAGGCGGCUUUCUGGGCCUUACCUGACGCUGAGACGCGAAAGCGUGGGGAGCGAACCGG
rnacentral:rRNA from 1 species